AGGAUGAUCCCUUCAUCUUGGGUUAUAAGUGUUGGAAAAUUGGUCAUAUCUCCUUUGUGUUUGACCAAAAAAUUCUCCUCCUAUGGCAUAGACAUGCUAUUGGUCAUCUUCUUGAAAUGUAGGACACAUGUCCAUAGAAUAUCCAAAUUGAAUACAAAUUUCAUAAACUCUAAUCUAUUGUGUAUUACCAAUAACCAUAUUUCACACCAAAGUAGUUAGUUGUGAAAUUUGAGAUUCAAGAGAAGAAAUACUUACCUCAUUCACCCUUCUUAGAGUGUCUCGCGUGUUCCUGAACUGUUGCGAAGUGGUGACCAUGAUCGUUAUCAAUUAUCUAGCUUCUCGUGGUGUUUUAUUCACUAUGGUGCCACCACUUGCUGCAUCUAACACUCUUCUU
rnacentral:lncRNA from 1 species